AUUGAACGCUGGCGGCAUGCUUUACACAUGCAAGUCGAACGGAAGUCGCAAUAUAUUAGUGGCGGACGGGUGCGUAACGCGUAGGAAUCUGACUAGUAGUGGGGGAUAACGUGGGGAAACACACGCUAAUACCGCAUACACUCUAAGGAGGAAAGCGGGGGGUGGUAAGACCUCGUGCUAGUAGAUGAGCCUGCGUCCGAUUAGCUAGUUGGGGGGGUAAGAGCCUACCAAGGCGACGAUCGGUAGCUGGUCGGAGAGGUUGAUCAGCCACACUGGGACUGAGACACGGCCCAGACUCCUACGGGGGGCAGCAGUGGGGGAGAUUGGACAAUGGGCGAAAGCCUGGUCCAGCAAUACCGCGUGUGUGAAGAAGGCCUGAGGGUUGUAAAGCACUUUUAAUCGGGAGGAAUACCUAAUAGUUAGUACCUAUUAGAAUGACAUUACCGAUAGAAAAAGCACCGGCUAACUCCGUGCCAGCAGCCGCCGUAAUAC
rnacentral:rRNA from 1 species